rnacentral:rRNA from 1 species
AUUGAACGCUGGCGGCAUGCCUUACACAUGCAAGUCGAACGGCAGCACGGGAGCAAUCCUGGUGGCGAGUGGCGAACGGGUGAGUAAAGUAUCGGAACGUGCCCAGUCGUGGGGGAUAACGUAGCGAAAGUUACGCUAAUACCGCAUACGAUCUAUGGAUGAAAGCGGGGGAUCGCAAGACCUCGCACGAUUGGAGCGGCCGAUAUCAGAUUAGGUAGUUGGUGGGGUAAAGGCUCACCAAGCCGACGAUCUGUAGCUGAUCUGAGAGGACGACCAGCCACACUGGGACUGAGACACGGCCCAGACUCCCACGGGAGGCAGCAGUGGGGAAUUUUGGACAAUGGGCGAAAGCCUGAUCCAGCCAUGCCGCGUGCAGGAUGAAGGCCUUCGGGUUGUAAACUGCUUUUGUACGGAACGAAAAGGUUUGGCCUAAUAAGCUGAGCUCAUGACGGUACCGUAAGAAUAAGCACCGGCUAACUACGUGCCAGCCGCCGCAGUAA